rnacentral:tRNA from 1 species
AGGCGCGUAGCUCAGAGGGAGAGCACUACCUUGACACGGUAGGGGUCGCUGGUUCAAUUCCAGUCGCGCCUA